GUGGACAGUAACAUUAGCACUUUCUCAAAAUUAUCCUUUAAAGAAAAAACAUGUAUAUAUGUUUUUUAUGUUUAGCUCACAUAAUAUAGUUUAAAGAAUACAUUAAGGUGUCUGUAAUACAAUAAAUGUGGCAAAAACAAAUGUAGAAUUUAAUACAUGUAUUUCUAUAGCUUCCAAAAUACUUUUACAAUGGUGAGGUGUCAAGAUGGAGGCACCGGGGCUUCAAAACAGCGCACAUUGAACUAUGAAAAACGAAGCAAAAUUGUAGUACGUUUGCUGUUUUAAUUCUAAUGAGAGAAGUGUAAGAAAGGCACAGUGCAUACCAGCUAUAACAUUUCUAAUGUGCAGUUGACAAUCCUUUUUCAGUCUUUAUCGAGUGCGUGACAAGUUUUAAAUACCGGCUAGCAGUAGUCCUACAUAAGCAACAUGAACCUUACGGUACAACAAGCAGAUCAAUGGAUUUAGACUUGUGUCCAAGUGCAGCCCCUCCCACCCCUAACCAGGGAGCUCCUGUGGGAGGGGGAAGCACAAGCACCACACUGCCUGGACCAAUCAUCAUGCAGCACCACCUCUCCAUUACAUCUUAGUUUCCAAGGCGACAGGCAGGGCCUUUCUCCUGAAAGGCACCGCAUCAUCACCAUCCAUCCACCCAGCGCUGGUCGAGAGGCAGCAGUAGCAGGCAGCAAGCAGCAGCCCCGCAGUGGGUCACAUCAGGCACCUCCCUCCCUCUCUCUCUCUCGCCUCAUGUCGCGCUGCAAAUCUGUCUCCGCCAACACUCAGGAAAAGGAAAAUGGAGUAAGAAGAGAAGAGGAAUGUGGUAGGUAGGUGCUGGAUUUUUUGUUAUGUCUGUGUUUAUCUAUUUGUGUUGCGUUAGUGCUGUGUUUUACAGGGAGGCAGAAGGGAGGGUUUGUGUGUGUCUAAUCCUCUCUAGCAGGCUGAUUUAAUGGGCUGUUUGCCGUUAGAAUGAGAGAAGGAGGCAGUGGAGAAGGGGGAGCCCCUCUGCUUUGUUAAAGGGGCCUGGCCUGCAGAGCUAGGAGGCUGCCUGCCGCAUACACAAACACCCUUGUCCCAGCCCCAGCCCCAGCCCUAGCCCUAGCCCCAGCCCCAGCCCCAGCCCUAGCCCCAGCCCUUGUUCC
rnacentral:lncRNA from 1 species